ACAACAAAUUUUUCCCACAAAACAAAGCCAAUAAAGCACAUGCUUACUCUUAGUUUCAUACUUCAGUAUAUUUCAACCAGAUUAAUGCAUUUUGGAGACACAUGUGAAAAGAUUUUUAAGUACAUCAUGCAGGCACAAUCAGUUGUUCCACUUGACAGCACAGUUAAAGCAUGUGGAGACAGAAAAGGAGCCAAGGAGGAAAAAGACAUUUCAUGUUUAAGCUAAAGAUCACUGUUCCUACAGAAGUGCAUUGCAAUUGGUUUGAACCAGAAGAAAAAAAAAAAGGACAGAUAAACAUGUAAACAAAUAAGUCUCAUCCAACUACUACUAGGAGAUGGGCAACUGAAUGCAAUCUCAUCUCUUUGUUCAAUUUAGGGCCAACAAAAGAAAAUCAUAAUAGAGCAAGUUGAUAUAUUUUCUUUCCUAUUUCUUUUGUGCAUCUUUUCUUACAUAUGAAACAACAAAUUUUUCCCACGAAACAAAGCCAAUAAAGCACAUGCUUACUCUUAGUUUCAUACUUCAGUAUAUUUCAACCAGAUUAAUGCAUUUUGGAGACACAUGUGAAAAGAUUUUUAAGUACAUCAUGCAGGCACAAUCAGUUGUUCCACUUGACAGCACAGUUAAAGCAUGUGGAGACAGAAAAGGAGCCAAGGAGGAAAAAGACAUUUCAUGUUUAAGCUAAAGAUCACUGUUCCUACAGAAGUGCAUUGCAAUUGGUUUGAACCAGAAGAAAAAAAAAAAGGACAGAUAAACAUGUAAACAAAUAAGUCUCAUCCAACUACUACUAGGAGAUGGGCAACUGAAUGCAAUCUCAUCUCUUUGUUCAAUUUAGGGCCAACAAAAGAAAAUCAUAAUAGAGCAAGUUGAUAUAUUUUCUUUCCUAUUUCUUUUGUGCAUCUUUUCUUACAUAUGAAACAACAAAUUUUUCCCACG
rnacentral:misc_RNA from 1 species